UACAGGGGAUGCAAGUGUUAUCCGGAAUCAUUGGGCGUAAAGCGUCUGCAGGUGGGCUUUUAAGUCUUUUGUUAAACCUCUAGGCUUAACCUAGAAUCUGCAAAGGAAACUAUUUGCCUUGAGUAUGGUAGAGGUAAAGGGAAUUUGCAGUGGAGCGGUGAAAUGCGUAGAUAUUGGAAAGAACACCAAGAGCGAAGGCACUUUACUGGGCCAGUACUGACACUGAGAGACGAAAGCUAGGGGAGCAAACGGG
rnacentral:rRNA from 1 species